CAGGGCCGGAAUCAGAUAUUGCACUUUUUCUCCUCUUUUUUUUUUUCUUUCUUUUUACCAGAGAAAAAACUAUCGAAUUUUGUCACCUUCCAAACAGGCUCUACGAAUUUUCCGCCGUGCUUCUCCGAUCUCUGAUCCGAAGACUCACCGAUUUUGAGCCUCAUAACCCUCAAUCCGUGAAGAAAUUCUGGAUAAAAGAGAGGGAUAAAAUGGGAGAGGAAGUGAAGAUGACGGAGUACGAGGUUCCCGGCGAAGGAGACGACGCCGCCGGCGGAGAAGAUAGGGUUAUGGAGUGGGAGAUGGAUCUCCCGAGCUGCGAGGAUUUGAUGCCGUUGACACAGCCGUUGGUUCCGCCGGAGCUCGCGGUGGCUUUCAGUAUCUCCCCUGAACGGAGCCGUACGAUCCAGGAUGUGAAUCGCGCGUCGCAGACCACGCUCUCGGCGCUCCGAAACGGCUCCUCCUCCAACGACAACAGCAACAGCUUCAAAACGACUGUCGCGGAGGCGGAGGACCUGGUCGGGUCGGAUCCGAAGAAGCAGAAGAAAUCGGACGGCGGCGGCGGAGCCAUGGUGGCGGAGGAGGCGGAUUCUGGGACAGAGGAUCCAUCGGCGAGGACGGUGAAGCGGCCGCGUCUGGUGUGGACGCCACAGCUGCACAAGAGAUUCGUGGAAGUAGUGGCUCACUUGGGGAUUAAAAACGCAGUGCCGAAGACAAUCAUGCAGCUGAUGAACGUUGAAGGGCUCACUCGCGAGAACGUCGCGUCUCACCUGCAGAAGUACAGGUUAUACCUCAAGCGGAUGCAGGGCUUGACCACGGAUGGCGGCCCUUCGUCCUCCGACCAUCUCUUCUCGUCAACGCCGGUGCCUCCACAGAGCUUCCACGACGGAGGAGGCUCAGGUGGAGGCGGAGGCUCCGACCAUGUCAACGGAGCUUCCGGGCACACGGGUUUGCCGCAUCCGGUGCCAUACGGGGCGCCACCGCCGAUGAUGCCGACGCCGAUACCGGCCUACGGGUAUAUGGGUAUGCAAGGAUAUCACCAUCAUCAUCACCACCAUCAUAGUCAUGGUCAUGAUCACUAUCAUCAUGGGACUGGAGGUUCUGGUGUCUUUGAAUCGAAUCCAUUCAUGAUGCAGCAGAAGGACUGGCCAGGGAAUAAGUACGGAUCCAUGGCGUCCUAUCCUGCUGUUGGUGGUGGCGGUGGUGGCGUGAAUGACAAGUAAUAAACAUCCAUGGGGCGACAAUUGACUCCAUGAAGAGAGAGAUAGGUGAGCUUGUUUAAAACACAGUUAGAUUCUUACACCAUUUGAUCUGAAUUUAUCCUCCGUGUAUACUAAAGUGAUUAACUUUUAUGCCUCUGCUGUCUCAUUUCUCUCGUUAUGAGCUUUUUCUUCCGAAAUUUCGAGUUUCAGAGCUGACUUCCAAUAAUUGAUUGCCAAGAUUAGUAGAUCUCUUCUGGAGAAAACUAUCCAAUUCACUAUUGUAGUGAUUAGAGAUUUAUUGUUCUUGUGUUACGGUUCAGUUUCAUGGUUUAUUCGUUCUUCAGAGCUAAAUCUUCUUUACUCUGAUCACCUCUAAGUAACUGAGUGGACUUUUGCUGUGGCUACCUGUGUUGAUUGUCCUUGUUAUAGUUUGUGUGGCUGAAGCUAUGGUUCAUGUUGGAUGAGUGUGUUCUCUUGAUUUGCUUAUAGACAGAUCAUAAAGGAUUCAUUGCUGUACAGUAAGAAAUGAAUGUAUUCACGAGAACCUGUUACCUAAAGUUCGGUAGACUGCUUGAACUCUAUUCUUUUGGUUUCCCUCUUUGGAUUUGGAUAAGAGAUUUUCGACAAGUCAGUGGACGGAAAAUGGAAAUGUCUCUGCUUGUGAAUGUAUGUGGUUGCAAAAGAGUUGGCAAUACUGAAGUACACUUAUCCAUCAUAAAGCUCUUCUCCCCUAUCUGUUUUCUGUCUCAGUGAAAACUUUCGGCUUCAGGUAAAGAUCAGUCAGGUUCUUGUCUCUGGUACCUUUCCCCCUUUCCACAUCCGCCGAGAACUUUUAUUUUUGUUUGGGCUGCCGUCGACAUAGGAUUGUACAAGAGUCGUGUGGAAGCAAAACCCAUCAGUAUUCUUGGAGAAUGAUGCACUCAGUACUCAGUAGAAUCCAGAUACGAUAUGCGAAUACGCUUUUAAGUGACCAUAAUGGGCAUUUUUUGACAUACUUCUAGGGUUUUUCUGAGUGGAAAAGCUCCAUAUUCUCUGGCUUUUUGAAAGGUAAAUCUCUUUGCAUAUCGUCUGUAGACUUUCUAGAGACAAGGAAGAUAAGCAUUAUCGGUCAGUCUCGUGUCUGUUCGGUUGGUUAACUGUUUAACUUCCUAGAGAUAAGGAAGAUAGCAUCAGACAGACUCUCGUGUUUGCUCAGUUUGUUGACUUUUUAUUCGUCAUAUGGAAUUUGUUUGAAUAUACAAUUCUAUUCAAUC